rnacentral:misc_RNA from 1 species
GAUGAAGAACGUAGCGAAAUGCGAUACUUGGUGUGAAUUGCAGAAUCCCGUGAACCAUCGAGUCUUUGAACGCAAGUUGCGCCCGAAGCCAUUAGGCCGAGGGCACGCCUGCCUGGGCGUCACACGUCGUUGCCCCCCCACCUACUCCUUCGGGAUUGCGGGGGGCGGAUGAUGGCCUCCCGUGCGCCUCGUCGCGCGGUUGGCCUAAAUGCCAAGUCCUCGGCGACGCACGCCACGACAAUCGGUGGUUGCGAAACCUCGGUUGCCCGUCGUGUGCGGUCGUCGCGCAUCGAGGGCUCGAAAAAAUUGCCGGGCUUCGGCUCGACUUUCAACGCGACCCCAGGUCAGGCGGGGUUACCCGCUGAAUUUAAGCAUAUCAAUAAGCGGAGGA